AUGAGUGAUCGGCUGUGGUGCAAGGUAAGAGAGGGACAGGAAUAGAAAUUGGCAAAACUUACAAUUGUAAAUUACAACGACAAUUUGAUGUUCAUUACGUAGCUAAUAUGGAACUGCAAAAUAUACGUGAUCACACACUCCGCAAUGUACAUCAAAUUGUCAUUGUUAUUUACAAUUGUAAGUUUUAUUAAACAGGCCCCAGUACAGUCAUGAGCAAUAUAAUGUACCCACUUUAGGACUCUGUCGCACUAACAUAUUUGACAUUUAGUGAGACUUACAGUUCAAUUUGUCAAAAAAGUCAAUGUGACAUGGUACCAAAAUUUAUACAUAAUUGGUCGUGACCGUACCUACCACCCACAGAACCAUAGAAUAAAAUUAAUUCGCCCGUCACUUGCACCACUCGUCACCCACACAGAGGCGUCGCUAUAUAUAAACGUCUGUCUGUCUGUGUGUCGUUUGGGAAAACAAACGGAGCGAGCCCGCUGACGUAGAGGCUGUGAGUCACGUUCACGGGCAAAUACUGGAUGGUUAACUAGUUUAGCCGGAACAUCUGUUUGGUAUAGACCUAUUGGGAGACAGCUGAUCUACGGGAUUGGGUUCGAAUCCUGGCUAGGGCUUCAACCACUGAACACGACUUUGAAUGAAAAUGUGAUUAAAACACAUAAUAGCGAGUUCUUACCGCAUUUAAAGCAGGGAUAUGAGACUCCCGAUAUUUCGACACUGUUGCAAGUGCCAUGAUCACGGGAUGUCAUCUCGGGAUGUCAUAUCCCUGCUUUAAACGCGGUAAGAACCCGUUAUUAUGUGUUUUAAUUAUGAUAGUAACCGCGUAAACUUAAAACAAUGAAACCGUGAUUGUAGAUAAUUAAAUAAUCAAUUUCCCUUUUUAUUUCUUUAUCACGUAGUUUAAAAGAUUUAUGCCCGGUUAAUGGCUAUAGGGCUCGCCCCCUGUUACAUGGGACUUAAACAUAGCUGGCGAGGAGUGAGUUUAUGUAAUACCUACACCGCUGCCUACCUCUUCGGGGCUACAGGCGUGAUUCUAUGUUAUGUUAACUUGUGGAAUACCCCGGACACUUCAUGCAAAACACUUCGUUGUGGCCGCCCAAAUUGUACUGUAUUCAUGUGUUAUGUCCGAUUGUUUAAAUGUAGUUCUGUGCAAUAAAGUAUAUUUGAUUUGA